GACGAAGGGGGCUAGCGUUGUUCGGAAUUACUGGGCGUAAAGCGAGUGUAGGUGGUUGUCCAAGUUGGACGUGAAAGCCUUGAGCUCAACUCAAGAAAUGCAUUCAGGACUGGGCGGCUAGAGGACCGGAGAGGAUAGUGGAAUUCCCAGUGUAGUGGUGAAAUACGUAGAGAUUGGGAAGAACACCAGUGGCGAAGGCGGCUAUCUGGACGGUUUCUGACACUAAGACUCGAAAGCGUGGGGAGCAAACAGG
rnacentral:rRNA from 1 species